rnacentral:lncRNA from 1 species
UUAAGGGGUAAAGCUGGGUGCAUCUCAUAUGUGCGCCAAAGAAGAACAACACAUAUAAUGACUAAGUAUAUAGAGAUAAAUGUCACAAAAAUUAUUACAUUGUGGAAGUGUCUUACAAGAAUAAAUGAUAACAAUAAAGCAAACUAAUAAUUAUUCCUUGGUGCCAUAACGCUGACUCGGAGACGCCACCUAGAUUAGCUCGCACUCCUCGUUGUAGACCUCCUCCUGGGCUACCUGCUCUUCACCUGGGGGUUUAUAUAUCGCAAUGGUGAGCUCACAAAAGAUCAUAGCUCAACAAGUUGUGGGGAAUAAUGUGCACGAACUCACCAAAGGUGGGAGUUCAUGUGUAGUGUAAGAUUGAUCAACAAAUAAUGGUUAAAGCUGAGCAUUGCUUUUAGUAAGUUGGUCAAAUUUUAUUAGCAGUUACUAAAUGUAAGUGUAUACCAACCCAAAGUAAUAGUAGAUCAAAAUUAAUAAUAAACCACAAUGCGAUGCAGAUGGCAAAUUGAGUUUAAUUCCAUAAGUUAAUCAUGCGAGAGUCCUGAGCUGCUCAUAACUGUGAGCACAUCUAGUAUACCAGUUUUACACUCUGCAGAGGUUGUACCCUUUACCCACAGGUCAUGUUACCCAGUUGCCAAGGGGUCUAGAAGUCCCAUUCAUUUCUACCGAGGAGAUGAGGCAGGGUAACACUGCGAGGCCUUUCCAAAGUUCCACUCUGAAGAAUGAAGCAUAGGAAUCCCCCGUCCAGAAAGCUAAACAGUCAGUCCAACUUGAGAAUGUCUCUAUACUCUGCAACGAUGCUUCCCCGCUUGCCCCUUUCAGGUAAGGUAAUCUCUCCCCAGCUUUCCUAAUUACUUGGUCAAGGGUGUCCCAUUCCAACCUUGUGGUAGCACUGUAUUCUCAAGUUAAGCUCCAUGUUCCAAUUAACACCAUAGUCUUAUCAAGAACAUUAUAGAAUAGAAUAACAAUGAUAAAGCAUGAUCAUGAAGCAUAUUUAUCUUAACACCUAAAACCACAUAGAGCAAUAGUAGAGACUACCCAAAAGUCCAGUGGUGAUCAAGGCAAUAAGUAAAGCAGACUAGAGUGACCUAUUGGGUCCCAUCAAAAUUAAGCCUAAAAUUGCCACAGUGAUUAUAUAGAACAUUAUUGGGUAAAGAAAAGUGGUCAAGGGCACAAAUUGCUUUCAACGAGCUCCUGCUAAGUAUUAUCCACCUGCUGAGUACUGGGUCCUCGGUUGCUUGCUCGUCUACUCGCAGCAAUAUAAACAAACAUGGUAUAGGACAAAUUAACAUCACACCAAACAUAAAAACAGAAUGCAUGAUAAUAUUCUACGCAUCGUAACGAGAUCGUAGGUUCGAGAAUCACUAAAUUUGGAGUUACGGUUAAAAAGUUAUGAUUUUUCGGGGUUUUAAGUGGUUGAUAUAGAAAUAACUAAGUGGAUAAUUUUAAUCUAUGUUUCAUGAUAAAACAGAGUUACCAGAUGAUGAACAAUAUUAAAACAAAAUUAAUGCAACCGGAAUGAAUCAAAAAGGACUUAAAAUGAAUUUACUAUGAUUUAAACAAGUUUUUGGAAUUAUUUUCAUACUAAAAACUAUUUUCUGUAUAAAUUUAUCCCAUUUUAUUUAGUUCUGGACUGCUGCCACUAUUUUGUGAAAGCACAGGAAUCCAACUGUCAAAAACAGGACCUAAAUUAAAUGUUCUCUAAUUUUGCUAGGACGAUGGGUUGCUUUUGUGAAAACAUAAGGUCUCUUAUGUAAAAAUGCUUGGCUGAAGGGGUAUCUUUGGAUUUCGGCCAUUUGAUAUGAGAUAGAGAGCUCGGAUUUAAUCUGACCUUGACCUGAACCAGUACCCUACGUAGAUCAGACGAUUUAAGACCUACGGUCGACGAACGCGCAUGACUCUAACCCUCCCUGAACCACUUGAUCUCAGAGCGAUGGCUUGGAUUUAAUACGAUGAAGGCCUUGUUCGUUUCUACCGGAUUGGUGGGUCAGAACGAUUUCGAACCGGAUUGCUUUUUUAAUUUAUAUAAACUUUGAUUAGGUGGAACGAUUCCGGGUGCAAUCCGACACAAACGAACAAGGCCGAAGGGGUAUCCUUUGAUCAGAUCACAACCGUAGAUCAAGGGUUCAGCGGCCGCGUGAUCCCGAUCCCCUCCCCUGACUCCGGCCGGCGGCGCUCCCACCUGCACGCCAGUGCCCAUGACCGGCGAUUCAAUCCGCGCGCUCCGAUUGUCAUUCUCUAAUUCGUCCUAGCUACACAAUGCGGAAGGUAUAUUGAGUACGGGGGUAAGCUUAUUACCGGGAUUAUGCAGCGAGCGGGCCUGGCCGUGGUGGCUAGAUUCCAUGAAGGCGAGAGCAAGUCCGGCGAGCGAUUCCCCACGCUCUAGCCACCAUCGAUGCUAGGCUCUAUGUUACGAACGCGCGGCCCAGACCAAUACUCCCUAAGUUCUCUUCGCUGGAGCGCUACGCCAGCGAGCACCCGAUUCUGUGGAUGCGCCACCUCCCGCACUCUUGGUUUCUCUCGAAGGCAAGGAUGUUCAGUGGUUUGGUGCGAUGGGCGUGGCCGAGCGGAUCCUCUGAUUCAUAUGGGAGCGGAGGUGGGAUUGUUACGGAGCUGGAGCCAGGAUUCUCGGUGGCGGUUGCAACGUCGCGCGCGAGCACGGCGCGGAGAAGACCCCCACACAAUAGCUCGGAG